GUGGGCUCCGAUUGCUACGAAAUCUUGUGGGUGCUCUUCCUCGUGUGUGUUUUCUUGAGUUCUUGUCUGUACGGGUUGAGGCUGCGGUGUAGUAGUAAACCAGCGUGAUCACCUCCUCGCUGCGGUGUGGCGUCGACUUGUGCGUGGACCGGACUUUCCCAGCGGUGUUCUUCUUUCCUCUUGCAUUCGACGGCUUCGAUGGAAUGUGAUCUUGUCAUCAUCGACGGGUCGCUAGGCACAGGUUCUACUACGUUGACUGGUUGGCUUCUCUACGGUGGGGCAGUGGUCCUAACCACUUGUGUUCAUUGAAUUUUUGUUCUGUUUAGUGAAGGUUGUUGUCGUGCUUUUGAUGUUGACGGAACUUAGUUCUCUCAAGCCGUGAGUUUCAUGUUAACUCUCACCUACUUGUGAUCUUAAGCUGUUGUACCUUGGAAGGAGCUACGGCGGGUUGGUAAAUGCAAGUGUAUAUGCGUAGAAUUAUCAAUAUGUGUUCUGUACAUAGACAAGCUCGGUGGUGCAUUGGCGGUGGUGUCUAGCGAGGUUGGAGCUUGGUUGGUGGAAAUUCUUAAUUUUUCGUUGAAGUAGGCAGGUGGACGUUGAAGGCAUCGAAAUUCUCAAAAGAGGGAAGUUAAGAGCCGUGGCUGAAGUCUGCUUUAAUACAUUGCACUUGCACUCCGACAUUGACCUAGAAAAUUCUUGGUGGUUCCAGCAUCGUCAUGAGAAGCGAAAUCAAAACGCGGACGACUGCAGUGGAUGCUGGGUAGAACAACGCAUACCAUCGUGUAACCCAUCAGACAUCUAGCAGGUUGCGGCACUAUUGUUGAAGCGACGCAGCGGUGUUGAUUAUGCAGGCAAAACUGAAGCAGCAGUGGUUAGCGAAAGCUCUAGAUCUUUGUAGCGAGUGGAGGGUCAUCUCGAAUAGUGUUUUGACUCUAUGUCAAGCCUUCUUCAUCACGUUGCAAUACAAGCAGCUAUACAAUUUGAAAGCUCUGCAGUUUUGGCAUAUGUGCGAUAGUUGAGAGACUACUUAUAGUUUUGUUUUCCUUUAGUUCAUGAACUUGUGGCGACAAGCUAUUUGUGGUGGAGGGAUUUGAUUAAAGGUAACUAUAAUAGGCAAUUCCAGUAAGCUAUCGUAGUCCUCCUUUUAUCUGGAGAAGGCAGGCGCUGUUGAGGGGCAACCUCGAGCUAGAGAUUAGAAUUAAACAUAGGUAGCUGAGUAAGUUAGAGCAUCUCUAGAAAACAUUUCUCUAAUUAAGGAGAAUUGGUUCCAACGACUAAAGUAGCCACAAUAGUGGAUUUCAUUGUCCUGACAUUGCAUAUCUUUGUAUUGAUAGAAAACGACCAUUAUCAGGCUAACCAUUAGUGGAUCCUAGAACUUGAUGCAGCGGUGCAAUCUCUAGAGUUUUCUUGACACUCGAAAGACAAGAGUGCAAGAGCGAGUUGGACUCUGAUGUUGGGCUUGGGUGAGCUGCAUCUACAUGUUAGUGGAGAUGUUGAGGAGCAAGCUGGAGAGAAGGCCCAAUCAGUGGGCUGUAGACAUUGAAUUCCAUCACCUCAUUUUAUUAUUAUUAUUGUGCUAUGAAUCGGGAAUUAUUAUCUACACAUCUCAGACGUUGGACACAUUCUGUGAGAAAUUCUGAGGACCAUUGUAUAAACACCAUUCAUUUAUUAAGUGAACGGAUUGCAUUAGAUCAAUAAAAUUGAAUUCAUGGAUAAAUUUUAGGUCAAGUUGGAUGAAAUUU